GACAGAGGCCUCGAGCGUUAGGCGGAAUCACUGGGCUUAAAGCGUGUGUAGGCGGAUCGUUAAGUGCCUUGUGAAAUCCCACGGCUUAACUGUGGAACGGCUGGGCAUACUGGCGGUCUUGAGCCAUCUAGGGGCGACUGGAACAAACGGUGGAGCGGUGAAAUGCGUAGAUAUCGUUUGGAACGCCAAAGGUGAAAACAGGUCGCUGGGGAUGAGCUGACGCUGAGACACGAAAGCCAGGGGAGCAAACGGGG
rnacentral:rRNA from 1 species